ACAUCGGUGGUUCAGUGGUAGAAUUCUCGCCUUUCAUGUAGGAGACCUGGGCUCAAUUUCCAGCCAAUACA
rnacentral:tRNA from 1 species